rnacentral:lncRNA from 1 species
GGGACAAGGAUGGGGACAGGGAUUGGGAUGGAGACAGGGACAUGAUGCCACCCUGAGGCUCCUCCGUGGGCAUUUUGGGGUCUCCACGGAGCCCCCAUCGUCCGCCCCGCAGGGCUGCUGAGCGCCUACCCCCUGUUCGGCUCGUCCUUCUUCUACGUCCAGAGCUGCAGCAACAACGCCAUCGCCUCGCCCUGCAUCCUGGCCGUCAACCAGAACGGCCUCAACUUCCUCAGCAAGGACACCCACGUAGGUGGAGGGGGGCUGCAGACGGGGGGAUCCCCGCGGUCCCAUCCCCUGUGGCCCUAAAACGGGCUGGCACGGAGCCGCGGGGCUGGCGUCCCUCUCCCAGCACCAUGGAGACCCCUAAAAUUUGGCACCCCGUCCCUAGCUCCUCCUGCACCCGCUUUGCUGGGGCACCCACUCCUUGGGGAGCCAGUGGGGGACCUCGGGACUUGUUGUCCCCACCCCAAAAAAAAAAAUCCUUUCCCUUAGGAGCCGGUGGCCAAAUUCUCGCUGAAGGAGAUCCAGGCCACGCGGACGCGGCGGCCGAGCCCCGGCUCCAGCUCCCCCUACGUGGAGAUCACAUUGGGGGAGCUGCUGGCGCAGGGCAUCACCCAGCUGCAGCUGGAGCAGGGCUUGGAGCUGUGCCGCGUGGUGGCCGCGCACGUGGAGAGGCUGCUGGGCGCGCGGGAGAAGAGGCUGACGCUGCCGCCCAGCGAGAUCACCCUGCUCUGAGACCCCCCCACGGCACCCAAACAGCGCUGGAUGGACCUGGAGGGGGGAUUUUGGGGGGUUUUGGGGGGGUUUUGGGGUUUGGGAAUGGGGUCCCCCAGGCUGCUGUAUCCCCCCCUUGUGCCCCUCCGCGGGCUGUGCCCCCGAGGAUUUGAUACAAGGCUGCCCCCCUUGGCCUGUGUCUGUGUCUGUGCUGAGCUCGCUGACAGUGGGGGUGCCGAAUGGGGACCCCUCGGCCCCCCUAAUCCCUCCCAGCCCCC